rnacentral:rRNA from 1 species
GCGGUAGGGGAGAUUGGAAUUCCUGGUGUAGCGGUGGAAUGCGCAGAUAUCAGGAGGAACACCGAUGGCGAAGGCAGAUCUCUGGGCCGUUACUGACGCUGAGGAGCGAAAGGGUGGGGAGCAAACAGGCUUAGAUACCCUGGUAGUCCACCCCGUAAACGUUGGGAACUAGUUGUGGGGUCCUUUCCACGGAUUCCGUGACGUAGCUAACGCAUUAAGUUCCCCGCCUGGGGAGUACGGCCGCAAGGCUAAAACUCAAAGGAAUUGACGGGGACCCGCACAAGCGGCGGAGCAUGCGGAUUAAUUCGAUGCAACGCGAAGAACCUUACCAAGGCUUGACAUACACCAGAACGGGCCAGAAAUGGUCAACUCUUUGGACACUGGUGAACAGGUGGUGCAUGGUUGUCGUCAGCUCGUGUCGUGAGAUGUUGGGUUAAGUCCCGCAACGAGCGCAACCCUCGUUCUAUGUUGCCAGCACGUUAUGGUGGGAACUCAUGGGAUACUGCCGGGGUCAACUCGGAGGAAGGUGGGGAUGACGUCAAAUCAUCAUGCCCCUUAUGUCUUGGGCUUCACGCAUGCUACAAUGGCCGGUACAAUGGGCUGCGAUACCGCGAGGUGGAGCGAAUCCCAAAAAGCCGGUCCCAGUUCGGAUUGAGGUCUGCAACUCGACCUCAUGAAGUCGGAGUCGCUAGUAAUCGCAGAUCAGCAACGCUGCGGUGAAUACGUUCCCGGGUCUUGUACACACCGCCCGUCAAGUCAUGAAAGUCGGUAACACCUGAAGCCGGGGCCUAAUCGCUCUUGUGGAGCGAGCCGUACGUUAUAUUGAACGUUGUCUGGGGU